GGCUACGGCCAUACCACCUGAACACGCCCGAUCUCGUCUGAUCUCGGAAGCUAAGCAGGGUCGGGCCUGGUCAGUACUUGGAUGGGAGACCGCCUGGGAAUACCAGGUGCUGUAAGCU
rnacentral:rRNA from 1 species